ACAGUGAUCUGUAACCGGACGCCCGUAACCCAGCCUGUGUGCAGCGCCGGAGAAAGCCUCUUCUGAUGUAAACAAUGCUGUUGCUGGUGAUUAACGGCUGCACGCAGGCGUGUGUUUUUCCCCCAAGAUGCCCCCAACGGUUCAAGGAGAGCAGCGGCAAGCAGCACCGUGGGGCAGGCUGGGUGGGAUGGAGCACAACUUAAGAGCCGCACAGUAUCUGGUCUUUACUUACCUGUUUCUGACUGACCUUUAUGCAGAAGUCCGGGUCUGCGUACCCUGCUGUGUUUCCAGAGGUCAGUCACCUCCCCGGACUUCAAUCAAACGCUACCCCAUCACCCGCGCCGCUUUCUAAACAUCUCUGGCCUUUGGUGACCCUCGAUUCCAAAGCACUUCGUCCAGGAAAUGAGAUGUGGACAGCUGGGCUGCCAGUGUGGACAUGCUGCAUAAAGACAGAAUUUCUCUCAGCUCUAUUUCAGAAUCAGUCUGCUGUUCCGUCUCACGACAGCAGCUCUUUCAUUCAGCAGCUCUGUUUCCACGGUUACCGUCAACCCGGGGCCGCAGAAUGCCCUCAUGCUCCCGGAUGUGACCGUCCCCAUUCCCUGUGUUUGGAAACGAGCUGGAGGAACCAUCAGAACUUACAUUUACACUUAGCAUAUGUGAAUGAAAUUGGAUGGUGAUUCAUCAGACAUUGCGGGAGACAGGCAGACCCAGUGUCAGCUCAGGACAGGAGAGACCGCAUGCUACAUGGGGCCAGUAGCUGAGGACAUGUGUGUCUGUGACACAGCUUGGAACAGGAUGCAGAAUCUACUGCUCCUCAAUCACCCGGACCUCCUUAGACAUUGUGCUGUUCAGGCAGGGAUUAUUCACAUUCAUUUGUCUGGUGCUUGAGGUACUGGAUUAAAAAGUAAACUGUGGUCUUACAAGGAUGUUUACAUUGUAACCCAGGAAAAAAGCACAUAGCUAGAUUUACUUUAAAAUGCAGUCAUCCAUCCAUUAGCUUCCAACUCCACGUCCAGCACACAUUCAACUGCCUGAUAAAAUAUAUGAAAACUGUAAACUAAGAUUCUUUAUAUGAUAUUUGAUGAGAAAAUGAAAAAGGUUAUUUGGUUUGUUGUGUCUAAAACAAUACGUGGUGUCAGCUUUGAGCUCACUGCGGAAUCAGAUCCUGAACUCACACCUCCAGUGUGUCUAACACAGCCUGUCUGACUCUCUCACUUUCCGUCCACUGGACUGUCAUCACUGAUUUCCUCAAGUAACUUGUAUCCUUCACCCAGAAUGUGACGCUUCUUCCAUAGGUUCCAUACCUUCCUAGAUUUAUUUAACUCCUCGGGGUUUUUUUCUACCUUUUUUUACAGGCUCAUUCCGGUCCUGUGCAACCCUGAGCGCGCUCAGCAGUCAGCA